UACGUAGGGUGCAAGCGUUGUCCGGAAUUAUUGGGCGUAAAGAGCUCGUAGGCGGUCUGUUGCGUCGGCUGUGAAAACCCGGGGCUCAACUCCGGGCCUGCAGCCGAUACGGGCAGACUAGAGUUCGGCAGGGGAGACUGGAAUUCCUGGUGUAGCGGUGAAAUGCGCAGAUAUCAGGAAGAACACCAAUGGCGAAAGCAGCUCUCUGGGACGGUACUGACGCUGAGACGCGAAAGCGUGGGGAGCGAACAGG
rnacentral:rRNA from 1 species